AGUCGAGGGGUAACAGGGAUUGCUUGCAAUCCGCUGACGACCGGCGCACGGGUGCGUAACGCGUAUGCAACCUACCUUCUACAGGGGGAUAGUCAAUAGAAAUGUUGAAUAAUACCCCAUACGAUCAUGAAUUGGCAUCAAUUUAUGAGGAAAGUUCCGGCGGUAGAAGAUGGGCAUGCGUCCUAUUAGUUAGUUGGUAAGGUAACGGCUUACCAAGACAUCGAUAGGUAGGGGUCCUGAGAGGGAGAUCCCCCACACUGGUACUGAGACACGGACCAGACUCCUACGGGAGGCAGCAGUGAGGAAUAUUGGACAAUGGAGGCAACUCUGAUCCAGCCAUGCCGCGUGCAGGAAGACGGCCCUAUGGGUUGUAAACUGCUUUUAUACAGGAAGAAUGGUACCUACGUGUAGGUAUUUGACGGUACUGUACGAAUAAGGAUCGGCUAACUCCGUGCCAGCAGCCGCGGUAAUACGGAGGGUCCGAGCGUUAUCCGGAAUUAUUGGGUUUAAAGGGUCCGUAGGCGGAUGAUUAAGUCAGGGGUGAAAGUUUGCAGCUCAACUGUAAAAUUGCCUUUGAUACUGGUUAUCUUGAAUUGUAUUGAAGUAGGCGGAAUAUGUAGUGUAGCGGUGAAAUGCAUAGAUAUUACAUAGAACACCAAUUGCGAAGGCAGCUUACUAAGUACUAAUUGACACUGAGGGACGAAAGCGUGGGGAGCGAACAGGAUUAGAUACCCUGGUAGAAGGGC
rnacentral:rRNA from 1 species